CCUACGGGAGGCUGCAGUGGGGAAUAUUGCACAAUGGGGGAAACCCUGAUGCAGCGACGCCGCGUGAAGGAAGAAGUAUUUCGGUAUGUAAACUUCUAUCAGCAGGGAAGAAAAUGACGGUACCUGACUAAGAAGCCCCGGCUAACUACGUGCCAGCAGCCGCGGUAAUACGUCGGGGGCAAGCGUUAUCCGGAUUUACUGGGUGGAAAGGGAGCGUAGGCGGUUUAGCAAGUCAGAAGUGAAAGCCCGGGGCUCAACUCCGGGACUGCUUUUGAAACUGUUGAACUAGAUGGCAGGAGAGGUAAGUGGAAUUCCUAGUGUAGCGGUGAAAUGCGUAGAUAUUAGGAGGAACACCAGUGGCGAAGGCGGCUUACUGGACUGUAAAUGACGCUGAGGCUCGAAAGCGUGGGGAGCAAACAGGAUUAGAUACCCGAGUAGUC
rnacentral:rRNA from 1 species